UCUCUUAACAACAUCUCUUUAUGAUGGGCAUUUCAAAACAUUUUAUGUUCUUUGUUCUUCUUGUACUAUUAAUGAUGAUAACCACUUCAAGUCUUGAAGCUAACCAUGUAUUUCUUCAACAUCCUAAAAGUGAUUAUUGGAAGAUGUUUUCAACGAUUGGUUUGGAGUGCAAAUGCUGUGAUGGUGAAGGAGGUGAAUGUACAAAGUCAUGGCAUUUGAACUUGCUCAAAUUUUCAGUGCUCUUCUUGGAAACAAUAUUCAUCUCGAAAACCCUAAUUAAUUAACCACAUACAAUGCUUAUUUCGCUUACAUGUGAUAUAAUAAUUAUAUACUUGAUACUAUUACAACAACAACAUACUCAAUGAUAACAUAAAAAUAAUCUAUCCAGUAUUCUACAUGAAAUUAAUAAAGUAACGAUAUUUAGAACAAAUAGUCUUUAAGUUUACAUGGCCAUUAUAUGUGGCACGUGAAAUUUUAUAGUUUUAAUUGUUAUUCUAUGUUAUUGCCAGUUGAUGUAAAAUAAAGUGUUUUUCUAUCA